UUCAGACGUUGUGCUCUUCGGAACCCGGCAGCCAAGAGGACCGGUCGCCCGCGCACCUUGCCAGCGCUUUAGUCGCAGCGACUCCUCUUCCGCGUCGGCCUGAUACGCGCCGGAAACGCGCCCCGGCUCGGCGGCAACCCGGCACGCAGGGUGCCCCGAAGGCACCGAGAUCUCGAAAAGCCUGAACGUCCGCGCCGACGGCGAAGAUGACGAUGACCCGUUGCUCAGAGGGCCGGGCGGAGGGAUUUACGCCCCGGAAACCCGAACCGUCGUCAUGAUCACCGCCGAGGGGUGUGGAACAAGUGCUUAAUUCUUCGUCCUUCGCUUGCGACGCGACGUUGACAUGCUCGAUUAAAAGCUUACUUAUUGUUAGCGCGCUUCUCGCUGCAGGAAAUUACGACUACGGAACGCCGGCGGCGAUCCUCAUUCGAUUAUCAAAAGUUUUUACGAUAGUCAAGUUUUCAUUAUACACUUUGUACGCAGUGUACGCGUGUGUGUUGGAACGUGGCGUUAAAUUGCGUGACGCAUACUUGACGUAUUAAAUACACGCAUCGUCGGCGGAAUAUCGCGUGGAUUUACC